UACGGAGGGUGCGAGCGUUAAUCGGAAUUACUGGGCGUAAAGCGCACGUAGGUGGUUUGGUCAGUCGGAUGUGAAAGCCCUGGGCUUAACCUGGGAAUUGCAUUCGAUACUGCCAAGCUAGAGUUUGGUAGAGGAAUGCGGAAUUCCGGGUGUAGCGGUGAAAUGCGUAGAUAUCCGGAGGAACAUCAGUGGCGAAGGCGGCAUUCUGGGCUAAAACUGACACUGAGGUGCGAAAGCGUGGGUAGCAAACAGG
rnacentral:rRNA from 1 species